UGCUCUAACUUAUUUUGAGGUGAUGAAGCUUUAAGGAAGGGCAUCGUUGGUGAUAUCACUUGUUCACAAGGCAACAUUGUAUUACUUGUAUACAUAUAUCAGAAUAUAGU